AUGGGGAACUGUGUGUGUGUGGAGGGGGGAGGAAUUCUUGGCAGCCCCUUCCCACUGUGCUCCUAUGCUGAGCAAUACUUCGGGCCAGGGACCCGGCUCACGGUGCUCGGUAAGAAGCUGCUCCAGGGCUGUGCAAACACCGGACAGCUGUACUUUGGGAAAGGUUCCAAGCUGACCGUGCUGGACAACCUGAACAAGGUGAAACCACCCAAGGUCACUGUGUUUGAACCAUCCGAAGCAGAGAUCUCCCGGACACAGAAGGCCACGCUUGUGUGCCUGGCCACAGGCUUCUACCCCGACCACGUGGAGCUGAGCUGGUGGGUGAAUGGGAAGGAGAUCCAGAGUGGGGUCAGCACAGACCCUCAGCCCUACAAGGAGCAGCGCCACCACAAUGACUCCAACUACUGUCUGAGCAGCCGGCUGAGGGUCUCUGCCACCUUCUGGCACAAUCCUCGCAACCACUUCCGCUGCCAAGUCCAGUUCUUUGGGCUAGAGGAAGAAGACAAGAAGAAUUGGGAGGACACCCGUCCCAUACCCAUCACCCAGAAUGUCAGUGCUGAGGUCUGGGGCAGAGCAGAUUGUGGCUUCACCUCAAGUUCCUACCAGCAAGGGGUCCUGUCUGCCACCAUCCUCUAUGAGAUCCUCCUAGGGAAGGCCACUGUGUAUGCGGUGCUGGUCAGUGCCUUGGUGCUGAUGGCCAUGCUCAAGAAAAAGGUUUCCUGAGACCAGUUCCAGAGGAACAUCCUCAGACAUUUUUAAUUCAAACCCUAGAUUCACCUUCACAUGCUUCCAGUCUGUGUUCCCAAUGAAGGAUUCUCUCCUCGCCCUCGUAUCUCCUACCUAUAUAAGUAUCUGUCCCUUCUCUCUGCUGCCCUGCAGACUGAGCUCCUCAAUACUGAGUCUGAGAUAAAGUAAACCAAUAAAAAUGUUGUGCUGGA